UGGGGAAUAUUGGUCAAUGGGCGAGAGCCUGAACCAGCCAAGUCGCGUGAGGGAUGACGGGUCUAUGGCCUGUAAACCUCUUUUGUGAAGGAAGAACCGCGGGGACGCGUCCCCGCCUGCCAGUACUUCACGAAUAAGCAUCGGCUAACUCCGUGCCAGCAGCCGCGGUAACACGGGGGAUGCGAGCGUUAUCCGGAUUUAUUGGGUUUAAAGGGAGCGUAGGCGGGGGCUUAAGUCAGUUGUGAAAGUUUGCGGCUCAACCGUAAAAUUGCAGUUGAUACUGGGUCCCUUGAGUGCGGCAGAGGCAGGCGGAAUUCGUGGUGUAGCGGUGAAAUGCUUAGAUAUCACGAAGAACUCCGAUCGCGAAGGCAGCUUGCCGGACCGUAACUGACGCUGAUGCUCGAAAGUGCGGGUAUCAAACAGGAUUAGAUACC
rnacentral:rRNA from 1 species